GCGACUAUCUUAGAAAAAUGCGUCUCCCUCCAAUUCCAUGAAAAUCGAACCAGGGAUUUUGGUAUUUUUAGGCGAGAUCCCCUUCACUUACUUCUUCCUCAAGUGAAGCAGGUUUCUGACAGUUGACACUAGAAGAACAUGCUUCAGGAUUUGAAAAAAAAAGGAUUUUUGUAAUCUGUUCCGACUCGGUACCAUUUUUGAAUAACUUAUAACAUCGAGCAGCUAUAAGAUUAACAGAGCGAAGCAUGGCUGAACCUCUGAUGAGAGAUUGUAGAAAAGCAUCAAAGACAUACGAAUUCAAGAGAUCAUCUUCAAGUCCCAAGGAUCAAGUUCAGCAAUCUAAAAGACCAAGGAAGGGGGAAAACCCUGUGCGAAUUCCACUGAAUCCUGACCAUUGUCUUGAUUUGAAAUCUUCUAAUUUGUGUAGAUGCAAAAAUUCUGCAUGUCGAGCCUCUCUUUCAAUAGAUGACACAUUUUGCAGGAGGUGCUCUUGCUGCAUUUGCCAUUUAUUUGAUGACAACAAGGACCCAAGUCUUUGGUUGGAGUGUGUAUCUGAUUCUGGUGUACGAAACUCUUGUGGUUUGUCGUGCCACAUUGAAUGUGCACUCCAACAUGGUAAGGUUGGGGUUGUUGACCUGGGGCCAAUGAUGCAGUUGGAUGGAAGCUAUUGUUGUGCUUCGUGUGGAAAGGUUUCUGGGGUACUUAAAUGCUGGAAAAAGCAGCUGAGUAUAGCUAAGGAUUCUCGUUGUGUUGAUGUUCUAUGCUAUCGGAUAUAUUUGAGUUUCAGGCUCCUGGAUGGGACUUCUAGAUUCAGUGAGCUCCAUGAGAUUGUUAGAGAUGCAAAAUCCACAUUAGAAACAGAGGUUGGCCCAGUCAAUGGAGUUUCAGCAAAAAUGGGUCGGGGCAUUGUUAGUAGACUCUCUGUAGCUACUGAAGUGCAGAGGCUCUGCUCCCUUGCUUUUGAAAAAGCUGACAAACUGAUGGCCUCAAAGUCUACUGCACCCACCAAUUUUGUUGAGGGUUCACUUCCUGCAGCAUGCAAAUUCCUGUUUGAGGAAGUCACAUGUUCUUCAGUUGCACUUCUGUUGAUUGAAUUAUCAACUGCAUCAAUGAACGCCAUUAAGGGAUACAAACUCUGGUAUUGCAAGAAAAGAGUAGAGGUUUACUCUAAAGAGCCUGUUUUUGUCUUUCCAAGAGAUCAAAGGAGGAUAUGGAUAUCGAAUCUGCAGCCUUGCACGGAAUACUCGUUUCGGAUCAUAUCUUAUACAGAAGAUGGGGACUCUGGACACUCUGAAAUGAAGUUCUUUACAAAGAGUGUACAACUUAUUCACGAUAGCCAUUAUUCUAGUGCUGAAAGACCUGGAGUGGAUGCAUCACAUGGAGGGAGCUCUAGUUCCAAGAAAAACCACAGGACUGAAGAAAUAGAACUAGACUCGGGAUUCAAGGUUCGAGAUCUUGGAAGAAUAUUGAAGCUCGCUUGGCUGCAGAGUCAAGGCUAUUUGGAGUCAUUUUAUGGUUUACAUGUGAAUAGAUGUGUUAAUGAUCAUGCCGUAGUCAAGCUUGAAACUAAGCAAGCCAGGCCGCCUUAUGUUGCACGUCAACUUGACUUGAAUGUUGCUUCCGUGCCUGAUCUGAAUGAGGAGUUCACACCCCCUGUUGAGUCAUAUAGAGAAGAAGAAAACGGGUGCACUUUAGGGCAAGCUGUUGAGGCAGAUGAUGCUAUUUCUCACGGCAUACAUAGAAAAUGUGGAGAAGUACCUGCUGAUUCGAAGCUGGUUGGUUGCAAUAAAAGACCACAUAGCGGCAAUAGGGAGACACAGGAUUCUGAUAGCACUCUGACAAACGGAUCCCCGUUCCAAGUUCAGACUGAUCUAUGCUUGGAUGAGAACUUUGAAUACUGUGUAAAGAUCAUCCGUUGGCUGGAAUGCGAGGGCCAUAUUACGAAGGAUUUCAGAUUGAAGUUGCUGACGUGGUUCAGUCUAAGAUCCAGUGAGCAGGAACGCAGAGUGUUAAACACCUUUAUACAGACUUUAAUUGAUGAUCCGAGUAGUUUGGCAGAACAGUUGGUUGACUCAUUUUCAGAUUUAUCCGGCAAAAGGCCAUAAAAUGGCUCGGCUAGUGUUUUUUGCUGAAUGAACUUGGAGCAAUAUGUCCGUAUCAAUGGUCUAUUUAGCUGGCACAGAUAAGAAGCCGUUAUUCACGGUUUGGGACCCUCACGUUGUGUGAGCCAUGGUUACCUGUCUCUUCUUCCAUUUCCCCCUCCUCGCUGUCUCACUCAAUCUCUCUCUCUCAAGGUCCGUGUGAGCAUUUUUUGUGUAUACAUGUAUAAAAUCUCCGUCCUAAUGUAAUUGAGUCAUUUUUUAAGUGAUUAUUUCAUCUUUUGACAAAAGAAAUGCCUCGCAUGUUGUGGAAUGGAGGGAGUAAUAAAUUGAUCCCAUUAACCAUGGGGAAUUGAGCGGCAUCUUAGUUGUAUAAGGGUGCCCAAAUCUUGCAACAAAAAUGACAGCUAAAAGGUUUUAAAAAAAGUGGAGGUGUUUUUGUGCACAUGCCUUUCUCACAACAAAGACAAGUCUUUCUCAUCUCCAACAAAUUAGUCAGGCUCUUGCUUCUCCUUGUUCUUUACAACUAGAGCUACUCUCCAUAUUUCUAUGCUUCACCUAUGUUUUUUUUAAUCUUAGUUCAUAAUGAAAAUGGAAGAACUC